rfam:Fukomys damarensis contig140063, whole genome shotgun sequence.
AUCCUUCAGUUCAUGAGUGUGAUGAUUGGAUGCUCAUGCCAUAUGCAUGAGAUGUGCCUCCCACAAACCCUGUUACACCAGCACAGUACCCAUCUGAUG